rnacentral:rRNA from 1 species
AGAGUUUGAUCAUGGCUCAGAUUGAACGCUGGCGGCAGGCCUAACACAUGCAAGUCGAACGGUAACAGGAAACAGCUUGCUGUUUCGCUGACGAGUGGCGGACGGGUGAGUAAUGUCUGGGAAACUGCCUGAUGGAGGGGGAUAACUACUGGAAACGGUAGCUAAUACCGCAUAACGUCGCAAGACCAAAGAGGGGGACCUUCGGGCCUCUUGCCAUCGGAUGUGCCCAGAUGGGAUUAGCUUGUUGGUGGGGUAACGGCUCACCAAGGCGACGAUCCCUAGCUGGUCUGAGAGGAUGACCAGCCACACUGGAACUGAGACACGGUCCAGACUCCUACGGGAGGCAGCAGUGGGGAAUAUUGCACAAUGGGCGCAAGCCUGAUGCAGCCAUGCCGCGUGUAUGAAGAAGGCCUUCGGGUUGUAAAGUACUUUCAGCGGGGAGGAAGGGAGUAAAGUUAAUACCUUUGCUCAUUGACGUUACCCGCAGAAGAAGCACCGGCUAACUCCGUGCCAGCAGCCGCGGUAAUACGGAGGGUGCAAGCGUUAAUCGGAAUUACUGGGCGUAAAGCGCACGCAGGCGGUUUGUUAAGUCAGAUGUGAAAUCCCCGGGCUCAACCUGGGAACUGCAUCUGAUACUGGCAAGCUUGAGUCUCGUAGAGGGGGGGAGAAUUCCAGGUGUAGCGGUGAAAUGCGUAGAGAUCUGGAGGAAUACCGGUGGCGAAGGCGGCCCCCUGGACGAAGACUGACGCUCAGGUGCGAAAGCGUGGGGAGCAAACAGGAUUAGAUACCCUGGUAGUCCACGCCGUAAACGAUGUCGACUUGGAGGUUGUGCCCUUGAGGCGUGGCUUCCGGAGCUAACGCGUUAAGUCGACCGCCUGGGGAGUACGGCCGCAAGGUUAAAACUCAAAUGAAUUGACGGGGGCCCGCACAAGCGGUGGAGCAUGUGGUUUAAUUCGAUGCAACGCGAAGAACCUUACCUGGUCUUGACAUCCACGGAAGUUUUCAGAGAUGAGAAUGUGCCUUCGGGAACCGUGAGACAGGUGCUGCAUGGCUGUCGUCAGCUCGUGUUGUGAAAUGUUGGGUUAAGUCCCGCAACGAGCGCAACCCUUAUCCUUUGUUGCCAGCGGUCCGGCCGGGAACUCAAAGGAGACUGCCAGUGAUAAACUGGAGGAAGGUGGGGAUGACGUCAAGUCAUCAUGGCCCUUACGACCAGGGCUACACACGUGCUACAAUGGCGCAUACAAAGAGAAGCGACCUCGCGAGAGCAAGCGGACCUCAUAAAGUGCGUCGUAGUCCGGAUUGGAGUCUGCAACUCGACUCCAUGAAGUCGGAAUCGCUAGUAAUCGUGGAUCAGAAUGCCACGGUGAAUACGUUCCCGGGCCUUGUACACACCGCCCGUCACACCAUGGGAGUGGGUUGCAAAAGAAGUAGGUAGCUUAACCUUCGGGAGGGCGCUUACCACUUUGUGAUUCAUGACUGGGGUGAAGUCGUAACAAGGUAACCGUAGGGGAACCUGCGGUUGGAUCACCU